rnacentral:rRNA from 1 species
AAACCGGAGCUAAUACCGGAUAACAUUUGGAACCGCAUGGUUCUAAAGUGAAAGAUGGUUUUGCUAUCACUUAUAGAUGGACCCGCGCCGUAUUAGCUAGUUGGUAAGGUAACGGCUUACCAAGGCGACGAUACGUAGCCGACCUGAGAGGGUGAUCGGCCACACUGGAACUGAGACACGGUCCAGACUCCUACGGGAGGCAGCAGUAGGGAAUCUUCCGCAAUGGGCGAAAGCCUGACGGAGCAACGCCGCGUGAGUGAUGAAGGGUUUCGGCUCGUAAAACUCUGUUAUUAGGGAAGAACAAACGUGUAAGUAACUGUGCACGUCUUGACGGUACCUAAUCAGAAAGCCACGGCUAACUACGUGCCAGCAGCCGCGGUAAUACGUAGGUGGCAAGCGUUAUCCGGAAUUAUUGGGCGUAAAGCGCGCGUAGGCGGUUUCUUAAGUCUGAUGUGAAAGCCCACGGCUCAACCGUGGAGGGUCAUUGGAAACUGGGAAACUUGAGUGCAGAAGAGGAAAGUGGAAUUCCAUGUGUAGCGGUGAAAUGCGCAGAGAUAUGGAGGAACACCAGUGGCGAAGGCGACUUUCUGGUCUGUAACUGACGCUGAUGUGCGAAAGCGUGGGGAUCAAACAGGAUUAGAUACCCUGGUAGUCCACGCCGUAAACGAUGAGUGCUAAGUGUUAG